UACGUAGGGGGCGAGCGUUGUCCGGAAUUAUUGGGCGUAAAGCGCACGCAGGCGGUUCGCUAAGUUCGAAGUGACAAUCACCGGCUUAACCGGUGAACGAUUUCGAAAACUGGCGGACUGGAGAGCGAGAGAGGGACAUGGAACUCCGGGUGGAGCGGUGAAAUGCGUAGAGAUCCGGAAGAACACCAAUGGCGAAGGCAGUGUCCUGGCUCGUAUCUGACGCUGAGGUGCGAAAGCUAGGGGAGCGAACGGG
rnacentral:rRNA from 1 species